rnacentral:misc_RNA from 1 species
CAGAGUUGCAAGACUCCCUAAACCAUUGUGAACCUACCUUCUACCGUUGCUUCGGCGGGCGGGCCCAGCGCCCCCCCCGGCCCCCCGCGGGCGCCCGCCGGAGGAUACCCAAACUCUUGACAUUAGUGGCCUCUCUGAGUAUUCUUUACUGGAUAAGUCA